rnacentral:lncRNA from 1 species
UGCAAUGUGGAAAGAGAAUGAGUGGUUACAGAGCGCUCUCUGCUAGGCUCUUCCACAUGUUACCUCAUUCUUCUCUCUAUAACCCACUCAAGAGGUAGACAUUUACUCCUUUUCACAGAUGAAAAAUGGAGGCUCAGAGAGGCCAUACAACUUAACAUAGGUCACACAGCUAGUAAAUGCUACCUCUUCCAGACCUGUCUUCUCAGCUUGACUCUUCUACUUUACUUGGUGAUACACCAAUCUAUCUGGCAAUGUGGACACUUAGCAACCACACAAUUGAAAUGCACCAUGCUCUACACUUUUUCCAUAAGGGAGACUGUGAAGAAAUAGCUAAGAAGAUUAUAAGGAAAAGAGUAGUGUCAUUGAAACCAAGGGAGAAGAUUGUGUCAAAUGAUGCCAAGACGCCAAAUGAGAUGAUGAGUGAAAUGGGUUCCCUGGAUUUAGCAAGAAACAAGAAGGUCAUUGGUCACUUAGGAGAAAAUAGAUUCUGCUGAGUGACAGUGUUUCUUUGUAGCUACUCCCAUGAAGAGGCAGAAUCUAUUUCUUCAUCCUUUAAUCUGGGCUUGGUCAUGUGACUUGCUCUGACCAAUGAGAUAUUAGCAAAUGUGAUGCAAGAAGAAGCUUGAAAAGUCCUGUGCAGUGGGGCUUGCUACUCUUGGGAACCCUGUGACUGCCACCAGGAUGCUGAUAACAACCUUCUCAAUUAGGACUGAAGAAGUGUGUCUAACAUUCUGGAAAACACACCACCCAACCCCCCAAGGUGCCUGAGUUUAUGUAAAAAGAGAGAUUGUCUUCGCUGUCAAGGUUUCCUGCCUCUCACUUCACUCCCACAGCUAUGUGUGUGAAUAUUCAGAAGCAAGGUUGGAGCUGAUUUGGAGUGAUGACUCUAAAGAAGAGAUAAGUUGCGUGGUGAAAACAAACAAAAGGAGAAAUUAUUGAAGAAUCCUUUCCUCAAAAAACUCCAAGUAGGACUUGGGCUUGGUGAUCUGUUUAUAAAGCCUCUUCAGAUCUUCAUCUGGGAGCAUUUUAUGGAGCAGGUGGAUAUCCUACUGCUUGGAGCUGUGAGCUCGCUUUGGAGACCAUCUUCCCCUUGGAAUAUGGCAGAUGACUGAGAAAUGAGGUGAACCCUGAUAGUGUGGACCACAGAUAGCUUAACUCUUUGAAGAUAUGCCUAUUUUGACUCCACCUAUAAGAGAGCACUACUCUGCCUGCUAAGACAGAAUGGAACUCUGCUGAGAUGGAACAUGACAGCCACUCAUAACACCACACAUCCUUUUCCAAGCAGCUUGUUAUACAAAUGAAACAUUGUUCUCACAUGGCAAAUUUACAAAGGCAGAAGAUACGAUGAAUUUGGAUAGUGUGAUGGAUCAUAAAGAGACAGAGUCUUCUUCCCUUCCCCUUGAACUGAGUUGAUCCUGACAUAUUUUGGCAGUAGAAUAUGGUAGAAGUGAUGUUGUGUAACGACACUCCUUGGAACCCUGUGAGAAGCCCAAGUAAAAUGAAGAAGCCACGUGAAAGAGAACCCAGGUACUCCAGUCAACAGCCCCAGCUGAGCUUCCAGCAACAUGGUACCCACUCUGUGCUGAAUACAGUGCUAGUCACUUUGGAGGAAACACAAAGCAAAGAAGCACCACCUCCCCUCAAGAGACUUCCAAUCUCCCCAAGUGGUGCAGACAAGACAAAACAGAUGAAGCAAGAAGAAAUUAUAUCAUAUCCAUCAAAUUUUGCUCAAGUUGUAGAGUCUGGAGAGCAUAAAUUUAUCUUAACUUCAUUAAAAAACUCACAGGCAGAAUUACAGGGCACUGAGUUUAACCGGGGAAGACAUUGGAGUAACCUUUGUGCCUUGUAAAGACACAUUGAUUGGAGCCAACUCUACCCUUUGACUCAAUAAUCAAAAUCUUGGUAUUUGAUCAGAAUUCUGGAGGCCAGAAGUCUGAAACCAAGAUGUCGGCCCCCCCUUCAGAGGCUCUAGGGGUGGAAUCUAUUCCUAAAUUCUUCCAGUGUCAAGCAGCUGUCAGCAUUCCUCGGCUUGUGGCCACAUCUCUCUCUGCUCCAUCUUCACAUCACCUUCUCCGUUUCAGGCUGAAGCAUGAAUCAAUUUUAAAGUACUAAGUGGAAGUGAGCACUGAGGUUGUUGGAUGGGAUGAUAGUGUGGUAGAAAAGCGUGGUAAAAAUUGAGAAGAAGGAAAGUAAGUAUUCAUUCCAUAAUUAUUUCUUAAGUGCAUGCUACGUGCCAACCUUCCAAAUAGAAAUAGUGUCUUUGCAGAUAUAGUUAGUUAAGGAUCUCGAGAUGAAAUCAUCCUAGGUUUAAGAUGUCCUUAUAAGUAGGGAAAGAGACACAGAGAGACACAAAGAAGAAGGCCAUGAGAAGAUGGAGGCAGAGAUUAGAGUAAUGCUGCCACAAGGCAAGGAACACCAGGAACUACCGG